GGACACAUUGUCUCUCACAUGUCGCUUUGUGUGAAAGACAGUAUUUUGCGAUAUAUCCUAAACAACAGCGAUGGCAGUGAGAAACACUUGAUAGAUUUGGAAUUGAGAUAUGAAGACUCUAUUUAUUUGUUUAACAAGACGUUGUAUAUGCCGGUGUUUUUGCUGUGGUGUUCAGGUUGAGUGUUGGCUGAACACAGGCAGCUCCAGCUGGACAGAUUUGAACGGCCAAGAAAAUCCCUGCUGAAACUAUCUGUGAUAAUAGCGAUUUAAGGAUGACAAUCUCAGUAAUUCUCGGCUCAAACACUUUUGAGCACCCUGAGACUCUCUGGCGCUGAUGCUCGGGUUAUUUUGGGAAGGCUGGAUGUGUCUGCUGGAGGGUGUGAGGACGUUUGCUCCCGGUGAGAGUCAGGAGCGAAGCAGGCAGUGGUGGGACGGGCCAGGGGAAGUUUACAAUUGCAGGCCAGGCAUCAGACACACAGCAGCACUAGAGGAGGGGAGAGGUCACCUCAAAGGUCAAAGGUCAUUGUUAUCAUCAGAAGUCCAUGAUGCAGUUCUGCAGAGAUCAGAUACGGGGUAUGUGUGUGUGUGUGUGUGUGUGUGUGUGUGAUGCUCUCAGCUUAUCAUGACAACAACUGAUUUCAUCUGAGAAUGUGAUCGAUAAACAGAGAGAGAGAGAGAGAGAGAGUCAGAAUGAAAGAAGGAUGGACUUCCUGUAGCUUGAUGCUCAUAUUUCAGGAUUCAUGAUUAAACAAAAUAAAACCAAAAUCACAAUAUGGCUUAAUUUAAAUCA